rnacentral:rRNA from 1 species
UACGUAGGGGGCAAGCGUUGUCCGGAUUUAUUGGGCGUAAAGCGCGUGUAGGCGGCCAGGUAGGUCCGUUGUGAAAACUCGAGGCUCAACCUCGAGACGCCGGCGGAAACCAUCUGGCUAGAGUCCGGAAGAGGAGAGUGGAAUUCCCGGUGUAGCGGUGAAAUGCGCAGAUAUCGGGAAGAACACCCGUGGCGAAGGCGGCUCUCUGGGACGGUACUGACGCUGAGACGCGAAAGCGUGGGGAGCGAAACAGG